rfam:Fusarium langsethiae strain Fl201059 Fl201059_contig206, whole genome shotgun sequence.
GGGGAGCUGGCGCAACGGUAGCGCGUCAGAUUCCAGUUAGCUGUCUAACAGCGUAAUUAGGGGAUUCCUGAAGGUUAUCGGUUCAAAUCCGGUGUUCCUCA